GAGCAUGUCAGACCGCUGUCUCCCUCUCAAGCCAUAGGGAGUGACGGUGUCUAAAAACAUGCUAGAGUAACAGUUUUUGGAGUUCACAGGGCCAUCGAUCUUUCAGAGUUGAUCAAUUGGUAGUAUCAGACUCCAACAGAG